UACGUAGGGUCCGAGCGUUGUCCGGAGUACUGGGCGUAAAGCGCGCGCAGGCGGCGGUGCUGGCCCGGCGUGAAAGCCCCCGGCUCAACCGGGGGAAGUCGUCGGGGACCGGCACCGCUUGGAGGGCGGUAGGGGCUGGUGGAAUGCCUGGUGUAGUGGUGAAAUGCGUAGAGAUCAGGCGGAACACCCGUGGCGAAGGCGGCCAGCUGGGCCGUCCCUGACGCUGAGGCGCGAAGGCGGUGGGGAGCGAACGGGG
rnacentral:rRNA from 1 species